AGAGUGAUGAUGGUUGGUUUUUCUAAAGCCUCCAGGACAUGGCCAGCAUGUGAUCAUCACCCAGGUAGACAGUCCUUGAAUGCCAGACUAUAAGACUGGGCUGAGAUCCCAGGAGCAUGGGAAGCUGGGAAUGAGGCUCCUAUGAAAAGGUAAAGGGAAGAUUUGUGGGGCAGAAAGAGGGAGGAGAAAGAUGAGGGGAGCCAGCCUUGUGUCUGAGAAAGAAGAAUCCAGGCGCCACCAGGGGAACAGCUGCCUCAGGGAUCAAGUUAAGCAACCCAAGAACAGCCAAAUGGAUCACCAGACUUAUGGAUUUUGAUUUACAGGUGGAAUAUCUUCCAGGUCUUCAGAAUACAACUGCAGGUUGUUUAUCUCAACUUCCACUUCCAAGCUAAGGGGAGAUCCCAGAAGAAGAGGAUGAAGGAGUAGUAAUUGUGCAAAUAGGUUCAUCCUCUCAUGGAGUGAUCACGUCUUCUGAAUGGAAAGAGGCCCUCAGUGAUGAUCAAGUACUUACUGAACUUAAACCAUACAUAACUAAUGGAUGGCACACAAAAACAAGGUGGCCAGAAGUUUCAUUUGCUGACAACAGUACUACAAACAAGGUGAUCCAGUUCAUGGCUGCAGUAUUUGCAAGAGAAGGUCUCCCUAAAGAAUUAGUGACUGACAAUGGGACACAGCUUACCUAAUUUGAAAUGGUACAAUACUUGCAUAACCGUGGGAUAAAAUACUAUUUCCUUGUACCAUCCUCGAAGAAAUGGUUUAGUGGAAAGAAUGAACAGAUUCAUGAAAGAAAGUUUAUGAAUGGUUACUAUGCAACAACAACCCUGAAAAGAGGCAAUCCAUGAAACUUUAUGUGCUUUUCAAACUACUCCUCAUUCUACUACUGGAAAAUCACUUUUUGAACUGCUGAGAGGACACAAAGCUGCCACCAAACUUACCGAAUGGCAACCACUGAUAGGGCUUUCCAUGUCAUCUCACUCUGAGAAUGCAGAGAUUCAAGAUUGGGUAAGGGAGAAGCAACAAAAAUACAAAUUGUAUGUGGAUCAGAAAUGGGAUGCAAAACAGUGAAUAUUUCAGGUGGGGCACUUUGUUUGAGUCUGGCUGCCACAAAGUGAGAAAGGGAUUUUACUGAUAUUCUGGACCAAAACAAAUAAUCAAAAUCUGAGGAGAUUAUGUCAUAUUGGAUGAUGGAAAGAAAUGGAACCAUUCGAGACUUUCCAGUAUGUAUACUAUGAGAAAAAAGGGGGGAAGGGAGUCUGAUAUCCAGAGAUGAACUGAAGAGGAAUUUGAUCUUGCUUCUAGUUUUGACCUCACAGAGGAGGCUGAUGAAAAUGAUGGACAAUCCUCUUUACCAGAAAAAAUAUCACUAACAGGUCAUGAGCCAGAGAAACCAAGAAUAAGGAGAGGUGUGCACAACAAGAGUCUAAGGAUGUGCAUGGAACCGGUUUGGCGCUCCUUUUCUGGAGUGCCAAACCAGUUCGAAGUGCUGACGUUCAAGCUGGUUUGGAGUCCAGGGCGGGGGGUUACCUUAAGGGACAGGGAGGGUGCCUCCUACCUGCCCAUUCCUGCCCUGCCGUUUCCCCCCCUCUGGCACUGUCCCAAAAAGUGUGGGCACGGGGCUGCAGCAUUCCUCCUUGCAGCCCCUUUCAGCGUCACCACACAAAUGACCAAUGUGUGUGCACAUGUGUGUGUAAGCAUG